GUUGAAAAUGGUUUUCCAAGGCUUACGCCUUCUAUGGGCAGUUUUGUGCCUGAUGGUGGUACUACCCGGUGGCCAAGGUCAAGGGGCUGGUGACACCGAAGCUCCGUGCCAGGCCGAUGAGAAAGAAAUGGUGACUAAGGCCAAAAUGUCAUCUCGAACUUCAGAGUACCAGCUUAUACACUUAUUCCUUGAUUCCAGCUAUUUUUACAUGUACAGUCAAUACGAUG